AAGAAAGUAAGAAAGGGCGCAUGGCGGAUGCCUUGGCUCACGGAGGCGAUGAAGGACGUGAUAAGCUGCGAUAAGCCUUGGGUAGGUGCAAAUAACCUUUGAUCCACGGAUUUCCGAAUGGGACAACCCAGCAGGUUGAAGACCUGUUAUCACUACAAAAGUAGUGAGGCGAACGAAGGGAACUGAAACAUCUUAGUACCUUUAGGAAGAGAAAAUAAAUAAUGAUUCCCCUAGUAGUGGCGAGCGAACGGGGAAUAGCCCAAACCUGCUUUGUGGCAACGCUUAGCAGGGGUUGUAGGAC
rnacentral:rRNA from 1 species